rnacentral:rRNA from 1 species
AACGAACGCUGGCGGCAGGCUUAACACAUGCAAGUCGAACGCCCCGCAAGGGGAGUGGCAGACGGGUGAGUAACGCGUGGGAAUCUACCCUGAACUGCGGGAUAGCUCCGGGAAACUGGAAUUAAUACCGCAUGUGCCCUGAGGGGCAAAGAUUUAUCGGUUCAGGAUGAGCCCGCGUCCGCUUAGCUCGUUGGUGGGGUAAAGGCCUACCAAGGCAACGAUCGGUAGCUGGUCUAAGAGGAUGGUCAGCCACAUUGGGUCUGAGACACGGCCCAACCUCCUACGGGAGGCACCAGGGGGGAUGAUUGGACAAUGGGCGGAAGCCUGAUCCAGCCAUGCCGCGUGAGUUAUGAAGGUCCUAGGGUUGUGAAGCUCUUUCAGUGGGGACGUUAAUGACGGUACCCACAGAAGAAGCCCCGGCUAACUUCGUGCCAGCAGCCGCCGUAA